CAAGGCUUGGAUUUUAAGAAGGCUUGGAUUUUUCACAGCAGUCUCUCUUCUUUCUUGCUGUUGAGACCACACUGCAGAACAGACCAGGAGCUGCAAACCAGUGAGAAGGUAGCCGUCAUCCAGCUAGCCCAACGGAUAGUGGACCGGAUGGCAGACCGUUAGCUGGUGUUGCUAACAGUGGAGUCGGAGAGUGCCCUCUGGUGAACAAGCAAUGCAACGACAUAACACGAUGAACAUAAACGUGAAGGAUUUGGCUCUCCCUUUUUUAAUUGCCAUUUAUCAGAUGUUAAAAAUACUGAUAGAAAUUUAUGUGCAAUAAACUCAUAUCGGCUGAUAAAA